CCUACGGGAGGCAGCAGUAGGGAAUAUUGCUCAAUGGGGGAAACCCUGAAGCAGCAACGCCGCGUGGAGGAUGAAGGUUUUCGGAUUGUAAACUCCUUUUGUUAGAGAAGAUAAUGACGGUAUCUAACGAAUAAGCACCGGCUAACUCCGUGCCAGCAGCCGCGGUAAAACGUUGGGUGCAAGCGUUACUCGGAAUCACUGGGCGGAAAGGGCGCGUAGGCGGGAUAGCAAGUCAGAUGUGAAAUCCUAUGGCUUAACCAUAGAACUGCAUUUGAAACUGUUAUUCUAGAGUAUGGGAGAGGUAAGCGGAAUUCUUGGUGUAGGGGUAAAAUCCGUAGAGAUCAAGAGGAAUACUCAUGGCGAAGGCGACCUGCUAGAACAUAACUGACGCUGAUGCGCGAAAGCGUGGGGAGCAAACAGGAUUAGAUACCCGUGUAGUC
rnacentral:rRNA from 1 species